AAUGAACGCUGGCGGCAGGCCUAAUACAUGCAAGUCGAGCGAACAGACGAAGAGCGUUCUCCUCUGACGUUGGCGACGGGCGGGUGAGUAACACGUAGAUAACCGACCGAUAGGACUAGGGUAAGGACGGGGGACCUGAUAUAGUACCGGAUAAUAGAGUGAACCGCAGGGUUCAAUGGUGAACGACGGUUUUGCUGACACUAAUAGAUGAAUCCGCGCCGGAUUAGCUAGUUGGUAAGGUAACGGCUUACCAAGGCGACGAUGCGUAGCUGAUCUGAGAGGGUGAUCGGCCACACUGGAACUGAGACACGGUCCAGACUCCUACGGGAGGCAGCAGUAGGGAAUAUUCGGCAAUGGGCGAAAGCCUGAUGCAGCCAUGCCGCGUGAGUGAAGAAGGUCUUCGGAUUGUAAAGCUCUGUUAUUAGGGAAGAACAACAGUAUGAGUAACCCUGGCCGUCUUGACGGUACCUAAAGAGUAAGCCCCGGCUAACUACGUG
rnacentral:rRNA from 1 species